rnacentral:rRNA from 1 species
CCUACGGGUGGCAGCAGUGGGGAAUAUUGGACAAUGGGGGCAACCCUGAUCCAGCCAUGCCGCGUGUGUGAAGAAGGCCCUCGGGUUGUAAAGCACUUUCAGUGAGGAAGAACGCCUGGUGGUUAAUACCCAUCAGGAAAGACAUCACUCACAGAAGAAGCACCGGCUAACUCCGUGCCAGCAGCCGCGGUAAUACGGAGGGUGCGAGCGUUAAUCGGAAUUACUGGGCGUAAAGCGCGCGUAGGUGGCUUGAUAAGCCGGUUGUGAAAGCCCCGGGCUCAACCUGGGAACGGCAUCCGGAACUGUCAAGCUAGAGUGCAGGAGGGGAAGGUAGAAUUCCCGGUGUAGCGGUGAAAUGCGUAGAGAUCGGGAGGAAUACCAGUGGCGAAGGCGGCCUUCUGGACUGACACUGACACUGAGGUGCGAAAGCGUGGGUAGCAAACAGGAUUAGAUACCCCUGUAGUC